rnacentral:rRNA from 1 species
UACAGAGGGUGCAAGCGUUGUUCGGAAUUAUUGGGCGUAAAGCGCGCGUAGGCGGCAUGGCAAGUCGGGUGUGAAAGCCCUCAGCUUAACUGAGGAAGUGCGCCCGAAACUGCCGUGCUUGAGUGCCGGAGAGGGUGGCGGAAUUCCCCAAGUAGAGGUGAAAUUCGUAGAUAUGGGGAGGAACACCGGUGGCGAAGGCGGCCACCUGGACGGUAACUGACGCUGAGACGCGAAAGCGUGGGGAGCAAACAGG